UUUAUGGAGAGUUUGAUCCUGGCUCAGGAUGAACGCUGGCGGCGUGCCUAAUACAUGCAAGUCGAGCGAACGGACGAGAAGCUUGCUUCUCUGAUGUUAGCGGCGGACGGGUGAGUAACACGUGGAUAACCUACCUAUAAGACUGGGAUAACUUCGGGAAACCGGAGCUAAUACCGGAUAAUAUUUUGAACCGCAUGGUUCAAAAGUGAAAGACGGUCUUGCUGUCACUUAUAGAUGGAUCCGCGCUGCAUUAGCUAGUUGGUAAGGUAACGGCUUACCAAGGCAACGAUGCAUAGCCGACCUGAGAGGGUGAUCGGCCACACUGGAACUGAGACACGGUCCAGACUCCUACGGGAGGCAGCAGUAGGGAAUCUUCCGCAAUGGGCGAAAGCCUGACGGAGCAACGCCGCGUGAGUGAUGAAGGUCUUCGGAUCGUAAAACUCUGUUAUUAGGGAAGAACAUAUGUGUAAGUAACUGUGCACAUCUUGACGGUACCUAAUCAGAAAGCCACGGCUAACUACGUGCCAGCAGCCGCGGUAAUACGUAGGUGGCAAGCGUUAUCCGGAAUUAUUGGGCGUAAAGCGCGCGUAGGCGGUUUUUUAAGUCUGAUGUGAAAGCCCACGGCUCAACCGUGGAGGGUCAUUGGAAACUGGAAAACUUGAGUGCAGAAGAGGAAAGUGGAAUUCCAUGUGUAGCGGUGAAAUGCGCAGAGAUAUGGAGGAACACCAGUGGCGAAGGCGACUUUCUGGUCUGUAACUGACGCUGAUGUGCGAAAGCGUGGGGAUCAAACAGGAUUAGAUACCCUGGUAGUCCACGCCGUAAACGAUGAGUGCUAAGUGUUAGGGGGUUUCCGCCCCUUAGUGCUGCAGCUAACGCAUUAAGCACUCCGCCUGGGGAGUACGACCGCAAGGUUGAAACUCAAAGGAAUUGACGGGGACCCGCACAAGCGGUGGAGCAUGUGGUUUAAUUCGAAGCAACGCGAAGAACCUUACCAAAUCUUGACAUCCUUUGACAACUCUAGAGAUAGAGCCUUCCCCUUCGGGGGACAAAGUGACAGGUGGUGCAUGGUUGUCGUCAGCUCGUGUCGUGAGAUGUUGGGUUAAGUCCCGCAACGAGCGCAACCCUUAAGCUUAGUUGCCAUCAUUAAGUUGGGCACUCUAAGUUGACUGCCGGUGACAAACCGGAGGAAGGUGGGGAUGACGUCAAAUCAUCAUGCCCCUUAUGAUUUGGGCUACACACGUGCUACAAUGGACAAUACAAAGGGUAGCGAAACCGCGAGGUCAAGCAAAUCCCAUAAAGUUGUUCUCAGUUCGGAUUGUAGUCUGCAACUCGACUACAUGAAGCUGGAAUCGCUAGUAAUCGUAGAUCAGCAUGCUACGGUGAAUACGUUCCCGGGUCUUGUACACACCGCCCGUCACACCACGAGAGUUUGUAACACCCGAAGCCGGUGGAGUAACCUUUUAGGAGCUAGCCGUCGAAGGUGGGACAAAUGAUUGGGGUGAAGUCGUAACAAGGUAGCCGUAUCGGAAGGUGCGGCUGGAUCACCUCCUUU
rnacentral:rRNA from 3 species